rnacentral:rRNA from 1 species
UACGUAGGGGGCAAGCGUUGUCCGGAUUUAUUGGGCGUAAAGAGCGUGUAGGCGGCUUUACAGGUCCGUUGUGAAAACUCGAGGCUCAACCUCGAGACGCCGGUGGAAACCGUAAAGCUAGAGUCCGGAAGAGGAGAGUGGAAUUCCCGGUGUAGCGGUGAAAUGCGCAGAUAUCAGGAGGAACACCCGUGGCGAAAGCGGCUCUCUGGGACGGUACUGACGCUGAGACGCGAAAGCGUGGGGAGCAAACAGG